rnacentral:rRNA from 1 species
AGGACGAACGCUGGCGGCGCGCUUAACACAUGCAAGUCGAACGUGAAGCCCGGGCUUGCCCGGGUGGAAAGUGGCGAACGGGUGCGUAACACGUGAGCAACCUGCCCCGAAGACCGGGAUAACAGCGGGAAACCGCUGCUAAUACCGGAUGCCCUCAUCACACCGCAUGGCGAGAUGAGGAAAUGGAUUCCGCUUCGGGAUGGGCUCGCGGUCUAUCAGCUUGUUGGUGAGGUAACGGCUCACCAAGGCUACGACGGAUAGCUGGUCUGAGAGGAUGUCCAGCCACACUGGGACUGAGACACGGCCCAGACUCCUACGGGAGGCAGCAGUGGGGAAUCUUGCACAAUGGGCGAAAGCCUGAUGCAGCGACGCCGCGUGCGGGAUGACGGCCUUCGGUUGUAACCGCUUCAGCAGGGACGAUUAUGACGGUACCUGCAGAAGAAGCCCGGCCAACUACGCGCCACGCACGCCGCGGUAA